rnacentral:misc_RNA from 1 species
CCGGGAUGCCUAGCCACACAUGUGGAUCCGUUUUCGCUCUCGGCAUGGCUGGCUAGAUGCAUUAUCGAACUUGCAUCACGUGAGCAAGACCAGCUUCCCCGGCAGCUGCAACACAUGCGUGACAACCCACGUUCGCCUUGUGCCAGAUCUCUACGCAAUUUACAGUACCGACACGCAUUGCGCAUAGAGGAGGCAUUCAGUCUCUGCGAUAAUGCCGCGACAUGAAACUCCUGACGUGCUGUGUCGCAAAAACGAGCACUACUUGCUGCACGUGACUUGGCUAUCACCUUAGACAGCGUGAACGCUACAGCUCCUGUGCCAGCAAGACCCCCUCAUAUAUCGGCGUUCCAUGCUGCCCUGUGGCUACAUUUCCUGCGAUCGCGUGCGGAGGCGAAUACGUCGAAAUGCAGUGCUAUGCGUCAGCGAGCUACUGCUUAAACGUAAGAUACACAUCAUUGCUACAACGUCCUUGUAGAAGAGUACAGCGCCCAUCUUCGCUGUCUUCCAACCCACGCACACUGCGACUCUUUCGUGGUGUGCCGCUGUCCUUGCACAAUUCGCUACCCUCUGCUGAUUCUGGUUGUAAGGGGCAAGUUACGCGCCUCGCGCGAGAGAGAACAGCGCUGCAUUGUCGUGAAAUACUCCACUGCAAGGAGAAAAUCAACGCAGCUAAUGCACUACCUUGCUGAAUUUCCGGCAGCGGAGCUUGCCGAAAGCCAUGCAGCCGCUCCACAGAAACCGACAGAUAUCCUUUGAGUAGAGCCGCGGGCGCUGGCGGCUGCAUCGCUAGCGUGUCGUGCAGCACGGGAGUGCAUGAACUCAGCUGCCGAGGCAGCCCAAAGUGUUCGCCUCCUUGCUUUGCUUUCAGGUAAUGAGAAAGGCCGGUGCCAUAUAGUUUUUGUCGCAGUGCACGGCUGACUCCGCUUCCUCUGUGAGGAUCAAACGGACUUAGACAGGGACGCUUAUGGAAUGAUCCUGGGCGCCGCACACGAGUGUUCUCUUGCUAACGAUUUACUGCUGGGUCUGCUACAGGAAAACCCACAGCAGAGAAGGUCAUUUAGUCUUGUGUGAUCUGCAACGCUGCAGAUGUCCACUUUCGAGUGGGACAUGACCAAGGUAUGCCCCA